UACGUAGGGGGCAAGCGUUGUCCGGAAUCAUUGGGCGUAAAGAGCGUGUAGGCGGCCUGACAGGUCUGCUGUGAAAACUCGAGGCUCAACCUCGAGAUGUCGGCGGAAACCGUCUGGCUAGAGUCCGGAAGAGGAGAGUGGAAUUCCUGGUGUAGCGGUGAAAUGCGCAGAUAUCAGGAAGAACACCUAUGGCGAAGGCAGCUCUCUGGGACGGUACUGACGCUGAGGAGCGAAAGCGUGGGGAGCGAACAGG
rnacentral:rRNA from 1 species